GAUGAACGCUGGCGGCGUGCUUAACACAUGCAAGUCGAACGGAAAGGCUCCUGCUUGCAGGGGUACUCGAGUGGCGAACGGGUGAGUAACACGUGGGUGAUCUGCCCUGCACUUCGGGAUAAGCCUGGGAAACUGGGUCUAAUACCGGAUAGGACCACAUUUUGGAUGGUGUGGUGGAAAGUUUUUCGGUGUGGGAUGAGCUCGCGGCCUAUCAGCUUGUUGGUGGGGUAAUGGCCUACCAAGGCGUCGACGGGUAGCCGGCCUGAGAGGGUGUACGGCCACAUUGGGACUGAGAUACGGCCCAGACUCCUACGGGAGGCAGCAGUGGGGAAUAUUGCACAAUGGGCGCAAGCCUGAUGCAGCGACGCCGCGUGGGGGAUGACGGCCUUCGGGUUGUAAACUCCUUUCGCUAGGGACGAAGCGCAAGUGACGGUACCUGGAGAAGAAGUACCGGCUAACUACGUG
rnacentral:rRNA from 1 species